GAUGAACGCUGGCGGCGUGCCUAAUACAUGCAAGUAGAACGCUGAAGCUUGGUGCUUGCACCGAGCGGAUGAGUUGCGAACGGGUGAGUAACGCGUAGGUAACCUGCCUCUUAGCGGGGGAUAACUAUUGGAAACGAUAGCUAAUACCGCAUAAAAGUCGAUAUCGCAUUAUAUUGAUUUGAAAGGUGCAAAUGCAUCACUAAGAGAUGGACCUGCGUUGUAUUAGCUAGUUGGUGAGGUAACGGCUCACCAAGGCGACGAUACAUAGCCGACCUGAGAGGGUGAUCGGCCACACUGGGACUGAGACACGGCCCAGACUCCUACGGGAGGCAGCAGUAGGGAAUCUUCGGCAAUGGGGGCAACCCUGACCGAGCAACGCCGCGUGAGUGAAGAAGGGUUUCGGAUCGUAAAGCUCUGUUGUAAGAGAAGAACGAGUGUGAGAGUGGAAAGUUCACACUGUGACGGUAACUUACCAGAAAGGGACGGCUAACUACGUG
rnacentral:rRNA from 1 species